rnacentral:lncRNA from 1 species
AUCGGACUUAGACUUGGAUUUCAUGAUCUGACCUCCAGCACUUGGCACCUUAUUUUUCUUCUCUUCUUCUUUCCUUUCUUAAAGGGAUGAUGCCUGCCUGAAGAAGAUGCUCUCACUACAUUUACCAUCUCCUUAUGGAGCUGAUGAUCUUUCUCAAAAGUUUGUAGUAAUCCCAACAGAUCGUGGUAGUUUACUAUAUGCUUCAUCAUUCGAUGAUGAUUGAGA